UACGUAGGGUGCAAGCGUUGUUCGGAAUAACUGGGCGUAAAGGGUGCGUAGGUGGGUUUGUAAGUUGUCUGUGAAAUUCCUGGGCUUAACCUGGGCGCGGCAGGCAAAACUGCAGAUCUUGAGUGUUUGAGAGGAUGGUGGAAUUCCAGGUGUAGAAGUGAAAUUCGUAGAUAUCUGGAAGAACAUCGGAGGCGAAGGCGGCUAUCUGGCAACACACUGACACUGAGGCACGAAAGCGUGGGGAUCAAACAGG
rnacentral:rRNA from 1 species